rnacentral:rRNA from 1 species
AUGUCUGAACCGAUCAAUGAGGCUGAUUCAGUUGAGGCUCACAGUGUUUCUGCACAUUUUCUGGCUAUCGCUCCUCCUCUGCUGAGUUCUACUUCUCUGAACCCACUGUUGGACAGCAGUGCCCCUCCUGAGAAUCCCUUGGUACAACUGCCCUGCCCCAAUGUUCCUGCUGCUUCUGAUGGCCUGCCUGACCAAGUGCCCUCUGUGAUUGGUCGUCAUGGGAAAGCUCCGGUUCCUGAAUCCUCGAUUAGUCUUCGUAGGAGUGCUCGCAAGAACAAGUAUGAUGGCUUUAAAGUGCCACCAGUUUCAGAUAUUAAGAUCAGAGCUUCUAAGGUGAAACCAAGGGUCGUUCCUUCUGCUGCCGCUGCUGUCACCAUAACUGAACUUCCUAAUGAAGCAGAUCUGCCACCUCCAACCCCAAUCCCAGUCAUUCAGCAUAUUGGCAAUGUUAUGUGUGGAAUUCCAGCUGCUGAGCUCUCAGAGGAGGAGCUCCUUGCUAGCAAGGACGCGGGACCAUCUUCUGAUGCUGCCUAG